CAUUAUGUUAGGAUUGAUUAGUUUAAUUACAUUAAAACGAUUGAUUAAAGACAUUGCUGAGAAUGAGGUGAUACUGAUAUGUGUAUGUUAUAGGGGUUUCUCUAUUUCAGAUUCUUCAGAUUUCCAGACAACUAUUUUCUCCCAAAAAGUUGCACCAAGCAAAAAAUUACCUCAAUACACAUAAUGGCAAGGAAAUCUUUUGAAGAAAAAAUUGCAAAUGUUUUGGCAUACAUAAGGAGUAGCACAUAUCCUGAAGGAAUGAAUAAAGCAGGCAGACUGAACCUGCAUCGAUAUGCUGUCAACUUUUCAUUGGAAGAGGGGAGAUUGUUCCAUUCAGCAAAAGGAAGAAAGGUUGUCAUUGUGCAUACCAUGAAAGAAGCCCUGCA